AGCGAACGCUGGCGGCAGGCUUAACACAUGCAAGUCGAACGGGCACUUCGGUGCUAGUGGCAGACGGGUGAGUAACACGUGGGAACGUACCUUUCGGUUCGGAAUAAUCCAGGGAAACUUGGACUAAUACCGGAUACGCCCUUCGGGGGAAAGAUUCAUCGCCGAUAGAUCGGCCCGCGUCUGAUUAGCUAGUUGGUGAGGUAAUGGCUCACCAAGGCGACGAUCAGUAGCUGGUCUGAGAGGAUGAUCAGCCACAUUGGGACUGAGACACGGCCCAAACUCCUACGGGAGGCAGCAGUGGGGAAUAGUGGACAAUGGGCGCAAGCCUGAUCCAGCCAUGCCGCGUGAGUGAUGAAGGCCUUAGGGUUGUAAAGCUCUUUUGUCCGGGAAGAUAAUGACUGUACCGGAAGAAUAAGCCCCGGCUAACUUCGUG
rnacentral:rRNA from 1 species